GACGUAGGGCGCGAGCGUUGUCCGGAUUUAUUGGGCGUAAAGAGCUCGUAGGCGGCUUGUCGCGUCGACUGUGAAAACCCGCGGCUCAACUGCGGGCCUGCAGCCGAUACGGGCAGGCUAGAGUUCGGUAGGGGAGACUGGAAUUCCUGGUGUAGCGGUGAAAUGCGCAGAUAUCAGGAGGAACACCGAUGGCGAAGGCAGCUCGCUGGGACGGUACUGACGCUGAGGCGCGAAAGCGUGGGGAGCGAACAGG
rnacentral:rRNA from 1 species